rnacentral:lncRNA from 1 species
CCUUAACAACGGGGUCACACUCUGCGUGACGCGGGGUUAGGUGAUGUCACCACUGUGUGAAUAUUAUAAAGUGAACUCACACAAUCCUGAAUGAUACAGAUCAAUCACUCAACGUGGCCCUUUAAUGUGAAUGACUUCUUUUUUUGUUUGUUUGUUUUCUUAUUUUUUCCGGUACUGGGAAUUGAACUCACGACCUUGCGCUUGCCAGUAAGGUGCUGUGCCGCUGAGCUAAAUCCCCAGCCCCUGUGGCCCUUUAAUGUAAUCAAAAGCUACAGUAAACAUGAGAUGUGUGAGAGAGCUGCCAGAGUGACAAAGCUUUUUUUACAAGUAGAAGAAGUACUUUCUAAAAUAACAACAAAAACACCCUGUGUUUGCCAAGGGCGACAGGGACGGUGCUGAGCUGAGUUUUCCCUGAGAAUAAUGCCGCUGCUGACAAACAAAUAAAGGUUGGUUGCUGGGGAAAGGUUGCUGGGGAAAGUCAUGUCCGAAUUGAUCCUGACAG